rnacentral:rRNA from 1 species
AUUGAACGCUGGCGGCGUGCCUAACACAUGCAAGUCGAGCGGUAACAGGUGUAGCAAUACAUGUUGACGAGCGGCGAACGGGUGAGUAAUGCUUCGGAAUCUGCCCAUGUAGUGGGGAAUAACCAGCCGAAAGGUUGGCUAAUACCGCAUACGACCCUUGCCCACCAAGGACAAAGGUAGAAAGACAGGGGAGUCGCAAGACCUUGCGCUAUUGGAUGAGCCGAAGCGGAUUANCUAGUUGGUAGGGUAACGGCCUACCAAGGCGACGAUCCGUAGCUGGUCUGAGAGGA